UUGGGUUAUUUUUGGGGCUCGCAUUUUUGGCGAAACUGUUUUUGUGUUUCAGAGUUUCCCUUCUCAUAUUCAUGUUUGAUUUCAAGCAAAAUAUAAGGCGAGCAAUCAAACAGAAAAAAGCAGCCGAGGCAGAUCGAUCUAGGGUUCUUUGUUCUCUCGAUUGAUAAUGAAUAGCCAAGCUGCAUCAGAGUCGGGGCUCUCAAAGCUCCUCAGCCCCGGCAUCCGGACGCAGUCGACGACUGAAAGUAAGGCCGCCGCCUUCCGGGGCGCGGCCGCCGGCACCUCUCCCCGUUGGCUCGUUCAGCCUUUCGACUGGCUCAGGAAGACAUGUUUUGAGAAGUGUGACUGACUCAGAAGUGAGCAGAAUGGUGAAGUCUCGCUGGUACUUUUUUCUUUGCUCCAAACAUGGUUGUUGCUGAUGUUCAAAACUCUGAGCACCAUUGAGAGGACUAAUACCUUUUGCGUAUUGGUAUUUCUUUUUCUUCUUUUUUGUUAGAUUCAUUUGGAAACAAGUUGGGAUGUAAUCUCUGUCUCCCUCCCUGUUUUAUUCAAUGUCUCUUUACAGGCUCAGAUGAUACUAGCUAUUAUAUAUUUUCAUUUCUGAUCUAUCUGAUCAAAGACCCCAGUUGAGUGUUUUGCUUUGGUGUGUGAAGAUAGAUAGAGAAACACAUAGAUAAGUAAGUUUGUUUUGGAUAUUUUGUAACUGUUUGGAUUUGCUUUUUGAAAUAAAAAAGUAAGAGAUAUGUGUUGAAUG